GCAGCAAGUGGCUGCACAGCGACCUCUGUCGGAGCAAGCAGGGAGACCGAACGACGCAUUUAAGGGCAGAGGAUGCGGCGAAGGCUACAAAGUCGGAGCUUGCGCCGCCAAAGGAGAAUCUCGAGUCAGCUCGAGCGCUGGGAAAAGCUUGUG